AGAGUUUGAUCAUGGCUCAGAACGAACGCUGGCGGCAUGCCUAACACAUGCAAGUCGAACGAAGCCUUCGGGCUUAGUGGCGCACGGGUGCGUAACGCGUGGGAAUCUGCCUUGGGUUCGGAAUAACAGUUAGAAAUGACUGCUAAUACCGAAUGAUGUCUUCGGACCAAAGAUUUAUCGCCCAAGGAUGAGCCCGCGUCGGAUUAGCUAGUUGGUGAGGUAAAAGGCUCACCAAGACGACGAUCCGUAGCUGGUCUGAGAGGAUGAUCAGCCACACUGGGACUGAGACACGGCCCAGACUCCUACGGGAGGCAGCAGUGGGGAAUAUUGGACAAUGGGCGAAAGCCUGAUCCAGCAAUGCCGCGUGAGUGAUGAAGGCCUUAGGGUUGUAAAGCUCUUUUACCCGGGAUGAUAAUGACAGUACCGGGAGAAUAAGCCCCGGCUAACUCCGUG
rnacentral:rRNA from 1 species